rnacentral:rRNA from 1 species
GACGACGCUGGCGGCGUGCCUAACACAUGCAGGUCGAACGAAGCAUAGCAAUAUGCUUAGUGGCGGACGGGUGAGUAAACGCGUGAACAAUCUGCCCUGUACAAAGGAAUAGCCUCGGGAAACCGGGAUUAAAACCGUAUGACACUUUAGUAUCGCAUGAUAAGAAAGUCAAAUCGAAUAGAGGUAUGGGAUGAGUUCGCGUCUGAUUAGCUGGUUGGCGGGGUAACGGCCCACCAAGGCGACGAUCAGUAGCCGGCCUGAGAGGGUGAACGGCCACACUGGAACUGAGACACGGUCCAGACUCCUACGGGAGGCAGCAGUGGGGAAUAUUGCACAAUGGAGGGAACUCUGAUGCAGCGACGCCGCGUGAGUGAAGAAGGUCUUCGGAUCGUAAAACUCUGUCCUUGGUGAAGAAAAGGACGGUAGCCAAGGAGGAAGCCCCGGCUAACUACGUG